rnacentral:rRNA from 1 species
GACGAACGCUGGCGGCGUGCUUAACACAUGCAAGUCGAACGAUGAAGCCGGAGCUUGCUCUGGUGAAUUAGUGGCGAACGGGUGAGUAACACGUGAGUAACCUGCCCUUGACUCUGGGAUAACUGCUAGAAAUGGUAGCUAAUACCGGAUACGACCCUCGGCGGCAUCGCCAGGGUGUGGAAAGAAUUUCGGUCAAGGAUGGACUCGCGGCCUAUCAGCUAGUUGGUGAGGUAACGGCUCACCAAGGCGACGACGGGUAGCCGGCCUGAGAGGGUGACCGGCCACACUGGGACUGAGACACGGCCCAGACUCCUACGGGAGGCAGCAGUGGGGAAUAUUGCACAAUGGGCGCAAGCCUGAUGCAGCAACGCCGCGUGAGGGAUGAAGGCCUUCGGGUUGUAAACCUCUUUUAGCAGGGAAGAAGCGAAAGUGACGGUACCUGCAGAAAAAGCACCGGCUAACUACGUGCCAGCCGCCGCUGUAA